GGAAAAAAGAAAGAAGAAAGCAGAUGCAAGCUAAUCACCAGGAUCAUGUGAUGGGACUGAAGAAGCAGAGAAUUGGGUCUUAGGAAAAUGGAGUCUUUACUAUUUCUCGAGAUGGCUGAUGUACUCAUUAAGAAUAAAUUAAUCAAAUAGUAUUAAUUAAUUAUUGAGAGAGGAUUCUGUAUUCUGCAAUAUCUAUCCACUAUCAAAAAGUGGACAAAUGACACUGGAUAGCAUGGCCUGCAUUGCACAUCACUGUCUCUCUAUAUAUAGUAUUCACAGUCACUAACAAUUUCUGAUCUAGGGUUCUUUAGCUUUCUUCAUCCUUGGCCGAAAGUUCAAGUCCUUCUGUUCCUUCUCCUCUCUGCCUUCUCCAAAUCAGGAAAAAUGCAAG
rnacentral:misc_RNA from 1 species